GGAGGGGGUUAGCGUUGUUCGGAAUUACUGGGCGUAAAGCGUACGUAGGCGGAUUAAUAAGUUAGAGGUGAAAUCCCAGGGCUCAACCCUGGAACUGCCUUUAAAACUGUUAGUCUUGAGAUCGAGAGAGGUGAGUGGAAUUCCAAGUGUAGAGGUGAAAUUCGUAGAUAUUCGACGGAACACCAGUGGCGANNCCCAUCCACUGG
rnacentral:rRNA from 1 species